rnacentral:rRNA from 1 species
AACCUCCGCAAUGUGAGAAAUCGCGACGGGGGGAUCCCAAGUGCCAUUCUUAACGGGAUGGCUUUUCAUUAGUGUAAAAAGUUGUUAGUAAGAAGGCUGGGCAAGACCGGUGCCAGCCGCCGCGGUAACACCGGCAGCUCUAGUGGUAGCAAUUUUUAUUGGGCCUAAAGCGUCCGUAGCCGGUUUAAUAAGUCUCUGGUGAAAUCCUGUAGCUUAACUGUGGGAAUUGCUGGAGAUACUAUUAGACUUGAGACCGGGAGAGGUUAGAGGUACUCCCAGGGUAGAGGUGAAAUUCUGUAAUCCUGGGAGGACCGCCUGUUGCGAAGGCGUCUAACUGGAACGGUUCUGACGGUGAGGGACGAAAGUUAGGGGCGCGAACCGGAUUAGAUACCCGGGUAGUCCUAACUGUAAACGAUGCGGACUUGGUGUUGGGGUGGCUUUGAGCUGCUCCAGUGCCGAAGGGAAGCUGUUAAGUCCGCCGCCUGGGAAGUACGGUCGCAAGACUGAAACUUAAAGGAAGU